UUUUUUUUUUUUUGGGGGACAGUCAAGUCUCAAGUACGUGGUAAAGGAGGUUAUCUUAUCUCUAGGCGGAGGAAGUUCCAUUUCCCCAGGGGAGGUUUUCUGAAAUGAACCCUAAAUGCCUAAAUUGCUAAUCCCUUGGGGGAGUAGGGAAGAUCCUUGGAUUGAGGCCAGUGUAAUUUGGGGCAGGGAGGUUGGGAGUUUUUGGGAAUGGGUUGUUGCCCCUCUCUGCAAUUACGCUGCUGCCGAUGAUUUCAUUUCACUGCAAACAAACAACCCUGAACCCCUCUUGAGGUUUCUGAAAUUAUCCCUUUAUACUACUCUGUACAGCUUCAAUAGCAGAUCGGCAAUAUAUCUGAUCAAAGCAACCGAAGGACCUGCGCUUAACUUCGACCAUCCUUAGCCAUCUGCCUUUCAUUCUGGUUACCUCACUCUCCUCUCCAAAUUUCACCACCACCACCCGUUGCGUAUGAUAUGAAAGCCUUCUCGUCUUCUUUGCCCUUUUUAUUUUUUCCUUCUCCUUCUCUUGAAUCUCUGCCACCCACUUGCUGAGUCUUUGAACCAUGGGGAGAAUCCUUCUUCGAUUGAGGCAGUGUAAUUUGGGGCAGGGAGGUUGGGAGUUUUUGGGAACGGGUUGUUGCCCCUCUCUGCAGUUACGCUGCUGCCGAUGAUUUCAAUGCUAAAAACAAACAACCCUUCAUGAUGCAUGAUGCCGCGAGAUAAAGGUCAGACAUCCCUCAUGAUUUCACAGGCCAGUCCAUCCUAAAUUCUGUAUCCCACUAGUAAUUGGAGGCUUUGAUGAUAUCUUCCUUUCUUAGAUUGUGUCAGAUUUGGGGCUAGCCCGUAUCUUGGCUGGGCGAAAAUCACGGAAGAGUGGUUUUUGCAGCCAUGGCGGGCUUAGCCUUUUCUCUGAUGAUGAUAAGGAGAUCUGAGCCACCACCCCCUUGCAUAGGAUAUUAAAGCCGCCUCGUCUUCUUCACCCUUUAUUUUCCUGCUGCUCCUCUUCAACCUCUGCCACCCACUUGCUGUAUAGUGAAGAGUCUUCAAAGAGAGAAUUUUGGGUUAAAGAUUGAUUUGUUAUUGGCUGUCUUUCUGCGCAAUUUCUCAUACAUUGGAUACCGACUCGGGCGCUCUUUUGAGUCCCGGAGUUGACUGAGCCGGAAUUUUCCGAGUCUGAACGAGGUUCCACCGGGUCUACCUUCUCCAGGAUAUGGCGGAACGGAAGCUGAAGUUCUGACGACUCAGACUCGGCCGAGUCUUUGAACGCCUGCCCUUUGGAUGAGGCAGUGUAAUUUGGGGCAGGGAGGUUGGGAGUUUUGGGUGGGUUGUUGCCCCUCUCUGCAACUACGCUGCCGAUGAUUUCAAUACAAGCAAACAGCCCCUGUUGAUGCUUGCCAGAUGUAGUACAAACCUCUCUAGUGAUUCCACAAAAACCCUAAAUCCUAAAUCCUUGUAAUCAGAAGCUUCGAUGAUAUCCGCCUCUUCCAAAUUAAGUCAGAUUCUGAGCUAGCUCGUAUCUUGGCUCGGCAAAAUCUCCCAAUGGCGGUUUUUGCAGCCACGGCGGGCUUAGCCUUUUCUCUGAUGAUUAUACAGCUCAGAAAGAAGAACGAAUGAGGCAGCAGCAGAGGAGUACGGGAUUUCUUCAAGGGUGGUUGCCCAUCUCUGCUUUGCCUAUGAUUUCGCCAUUGGUUACUAAAAAACCAACAGCCCUUCGAACAUAGCCAGGGAAAUAUAUGUAUAUAUAUAUAUAUGUACACAAACACACGUGUGUGUGUGUGUGUGUGUGUGUGUUUAACAAUAACAGGGAAGAAGCCCUCGUUGCGAGUUUUCUUUUUCUUCUUUUCUUUCUUUUUGGCGACGGUGUAAUAUGAGAUGAAGGUGGUGGUGGUGGUGGAGGGAUUCGGCGUUUAUGGAAAAGAGGCGGUGAUGAUAUUUGUUGGGCAUUAUUUCUGAGCGUAUCAAAUCGGACAUUGGAGACGAACCGACCCGUAACUUGGCUGGGCAAACUCAGCAGUUGGUCUCGUCUCAUGUAUGAGCAGCUGCAGAUUUUGCAGCCAUGGCGCGGUCAAUGUCUCUGUCCGAUUCAUAAAAGAAAUCUGAGCCUCAUCUUUCUGUUGUUUUUUUCUUUAAAAAAAAAAAAACAUUUUUUAGUAUAUCAUUUUGAUACCCCUUUUGGUCCCUGAUUGAAAAAUAUAUAUUUGAAUCCUCAAUCCUUUUAUGUUGAUGUGUGUCUGGAGAAUGUGUCAAGGGAGGCUACAAGCCAGUCCUUGUUAUGGACCGCUAGCCAUCAAGUGUUUUAAAGAGCGCUUUCGAGGCCCGUCUCAUGACGGAGCGUUUUGUUUUUUAUACAGUCUAUUUACUUUCAAAUUUGUACGGAUCGUAUUUCUGUGAAAAUUUUUAAUUGUACUUUUAAAAAA